UGUGUGUGUGUGUGUGUGUGUGUGUGUGUGUGUGUGUGUGUGUGUGUGUGUGUGUGCGUUUGUCAAAGUGACAUAUGGGGACAUUUUUAUGAAAUUUCACCUUACAUAUGAGGACCUGUUGAAAUAUGGGGACAUUUUCCAUGUCCCCAUAUUUCCCGCAAUGCUAUCGUGUUCUAGACCCUCCCAGCAUGUUCCCAGACCAAAAAUCUCUGAAGUCUUCAUUUGUCAAAUUUUCAGAAAAAGUGUGUGAAAGUGUGUUUAAUUUUUUUGCUCACCUUCGAUUUUGCCCCUAGUGGCCAUCUUUGCUAUUAUGACACACACACACACACACUUGUCCUCAUAUGUCAUAUGUCCUCAUAUGUCAUGUGGGUCAGAAACUCACACACUCCAACAUUUUGAAAAACAUCUAAUCAUUACAGCAAUAAACAUACUUUUAAAUUCUAAAUCAAAUAACACAUGUUCAACUGAUCUGAUGAUCUGAACCUUUUUUAUGUUAGUUUUAUCUAUUCAUUUGGUUUAUCUGGAGAGGAUUUGGGCUAGACAAUUAGUAAUAAAGGGAUUAUGGUGAUGAUUUAAUUGGUUUGAUUCAGUAUUUUACUGUAUUGGGCUUUUUGCUAUUAUGUUGACUAAAAUACAAUGCCGCACAAUAAUUAAUUUAAAUGUGCCUGAAAUGUAGGUUUUUGCAUAAAUCCCCCCCCCCUACAUACAGUAUUUAAUAUUUUCAAAUGGUUACAAUAGCACAUGAUUUAGGUAUUUUUAUCUUUGGGACAAAUUUUGGAUUCAAUUGGCGAUUGUUUUUGGAGGUAUUCACUUUACAUGGUGUUCAAGAUGGUUACUUCCGCCCACUCUGAAGAGUCUCGGCGUCUGAUUGGUCCAAUUUUCAGUUAGGCGCUGCCUGAUUGGCCAGUGGAUGAUGUCGGAUCCUAACAGAGGGCUAAAUCACUAGUUAACUAUUUUCAUCUUGGAAGUUAUACAGCUCACGUAUCACACUUAAUAUUGAAUAUAUAUAAAAAGGGUUUUCCAAAAGGACCAUUUAUAAUCGAAAUACAAAACUUCACACACGAUUUUGAGCACAACAGAGCGCUCAGUGAACAUCACUUCCGGGACCUGCAUGACCGGAGGGGGACAUCUAUCUUGGCCACAAACAAUCUUUGACAGUCUUCGGCAGCAUGGUUGAAUCAGGUGAGCAUAAAAUGGAGUUUAACGUAAUUAAAUAGACCAAUGUUUUUUAACAUAGGAAAAUAAUUCAUUAUAAACAACAGUUAAAUGUUUGUUUUUAUUAAUUGCAAUCAGAUUUGAUUUUAUGAGGUUAAAUUAAGCAUUUCAGUUCUGGGCCAAGGCCAAGGCAUUUAAAUUUUUUUUUUUAAAGUUGCAUGGAAGAUUGUAAGUAGCAGUGAUUGUCACACACUAGGUGUGGUGAAAUUAUUCUCUGCAUUUGACCCAUCACCCUUGAUCACUAUGCAAGUAAACCUUUUCUUAAUUUUAAACAAGACAGACUAGAGUUCUUCAAAUUGUUUAUACUUUUUCUCAAAUACAAAUAUUUCAAGCUGAUAAGCACUGUGGAGUUGGCAUGUUACUGAUAUUGUUACAUUAGUUCUUUGUUUGAGAAGCUUCAUGUCUGCACUGAGCCUAAAUUUAACAGUUUUUGAAGGGUUUAGUUCUUUGUUUUAUUUCUGUGUCACUGACUUUUUUCAUUUUUAUGUUUGGAUUUGUUAGGCGCAUCAACACAUGAUGUAGACAUCGUGUCCAAAAGAAGAGCGAGACGUAAUCCUGAGGCUGAAGCCACCGAGUUUAUGUGAUCUGGAUGUGACAAGUCUUGUUUUAAGGCCCAGUGGAUCAAUGAUUGGAAAGACACCAACUGUUGAUGUUCUAUCUCAACAUUCUCCAGAUUCAUGUGAGCGAUAAACCGACUUCAUCCCUCCAACAGGUUAUUUCUUGACUAUUUUACUAUCCAUCCAUCCAUCCAUUUUCUACUACCUGUCCCUUUUUUGGGUUGGCGGGGUGUGCUUGAGCCUAUCUGAGCUGCAUUCGGGCGGAAGGCGGAGUGCACCCUGGACAAGUCGCCACCUCAUUACACGGCCAACACAAAUAGACAACAUUUACACUCACAUUCACACACUAGGGCCAAUUAAGUGUUGCCAAUCAACCUAUCCCCAGGUGCAUGUCUUUGGAGGUAAGAUGAAGCCGGAGUACCCGGAGGGAACCCACGCAGUCACGGGGAGAACAUGCAAACUCCACACAGAAAGAUCACGAGCCCAGGAUUUAACUCAGGACCUUCGAUUUGUGACGCACAUGCACUAACCCCUGACCCACCGUGCUGCCCUAUAUCUGCUAAAAACUUGACACAACCUAUACUUCAAAAGACAUUUAAUCCUUUUAACCUCUCACAGAUCAGUUUAUAUGACAACAUUUUUUAAGCGUACAUCCAUGUUAGUCUGUGGAAUUUACAACUCAUGUUUAGCAAAACAGGAGAUGUUACAGGUCAGCAACAUGAAUUCUAUAUGUGAUCACUUGUCAUGUACUCAUAUUGUUUGAACUAAAAAAGACUUCAGUGUGUUUCAUAUAAGGUCCUCAUAUUUUUCUGAACCACAUUAGUGUGUGUUACAAUGUUUAAUUCAAAGCUUUAAAAUGAGUGUUUCAAUCCAGGUCCUCAUAUUUUCUGAACCACAUUUUAGUGAAUGUUACAUUCUUAAAUAAUAGUCUAAGAGCUAAAACGCUAUAAUAAUCUUUACUGUUUAUGUAGAAUUAUAUGAUCAGAAUAUUAUCAACCAAAAGUGGUUGUUAAUGUUAUAAUUAAUUAGUUCUGACAUUAUAUUUUUGUGUUUUGUUGCAGACACCAACUGUUGGGGUUCUAUCUCAACAUUUUCCAGAUUCAGAUGUGAGCGAUAAACCGACUUCAUCCCUCCAACAGAAACCAACUGUUGAGGUUCCAUCUCAACAUUCUCCAGAUUCAGAUGUGAGCCAUUAACUGACUUCAUCCCUCCAACAGAAACCAACUGUUGAGGUUCUAUCUCAACAUUCUCUAGAUUCAGAUGACAGCCAUAAACCGACUUCAUCCCUCCAACAGAUUGAAAGCAGGACAAAUCGCUGGAAGUGGGUAUGUCUCAAGCUUCUUCCACUUGGUCCACUCCAAAGCGGGGUAAAUAAAUAAUCUACAUCAUUUACUAGAAUAUUAUAUUACGUUUUGCACCUUUUCACUGUAUUAUAGUCCUUAUUCCUUCAGUAAGAAAUUGUAUUUUGUCUCCUUUAUGACAACUGCAAAGGGGAAGAAGUGGAAGCAGUUGAAUGACACAUGUUGCAUUUUGUAACUGGCAACAAAGUACCAGGUAAAAAAGAUUGUGAAGCCUGCCUCCAUAAAGAACUAGUAGCUCUACAGGACAGAGAUUGGCUUGCCAUCAAGUACUACAUCCAUAACAGAAUUAUAUUAAAAAAAGGGAAAAAAAAUGUUUUCCCACAUCUUCUGUGGUAGUUUGAGUAUGUUACCAGCAAUUAAAAAAGCAAAAUAAACA